GAUGAACGCUGGCGGCGUGCUUAACACAUGCAAGUCGAGCGGAAAGACGAGGCUUUUGCUGGGCGCACGAGAGGCGAAGGGGGGAGUAACACGUGAGUAUACCGCCCCUGACUGAGGGAUAUCUUUUGGAAACUGGGGCGCAUACCGGGUAGGAGCUACUGCUGCAUGGUGGUGGUUGGAGAGUUACGGCGGUGGGGGAUCGACUCGCGGCUUAUGAGCUGGAUGGUGGAGUAGUGGCAUACGAGGGUUUCGACGGGUAGCCCGCCUGGGAGGGUGAACGGCCACAUUGGGACUGCGAUACGGCCCAGUCUCCUACGGGAGGCAGCAGUGGAGAAUAUUGCACAAUGGGCGGAAGCCUGAUACGACAACGCCGCGUGCGGGAUGACCGCCUUCGGGUUGUAAACCGCUUUCGCCUGUGACGAAGCGUGAUUGACGGUAAUGGGUAAAGAAGCACCGGCUAACUACGUG
rnacentral:rRNA from 1 species